UUCUCUCAGACAGAGCUGGUUACCACAGUGACAGACACAGCUACAGACUCAGGAGCAGCAGCUGUAACCGAUGUGCCCCUCACAAACACACAGCCUGGUCCAGACCCAGGUCCAGCCACAGAAUCGUACUACUCUCAGGGUCCUGAAGGUUCAGAAAAUGUGGAACUGGAGGAUUCCUGCUGAUUUUCACAUCAAACCAAAAGUCCACUUCCUGAGAUUCCGUUUCCACUGCACCAGCCAAUCACAGAGCCCACUGCGACCAGCUGGUCAAUCCCAGAAGACCACACUGUAACUGUGCAAUUUCAAAACACUGUGCACACACCUUGCCAGUCACAGAUGACAACACUGUAACUGUGGAAUUUCAAAACACUGUGC